AUUGAACGCUGGCGGCAUGCUUUACACAUGCAAGUCGAACGGGGUGAGGAGCUUGCUCCUCAUCUAGUGGCGAACGGGUGAGUAAUACAUCGGAACGUACCGUGUAGUGGGGGAUAACGUAGCGAAAGUUACGCUAAUACCGCAUACGAUCCACGGAUGAAAGCAGGGGACCUUCGGGCCUUGUGCUAUACGAGCGGCCGAUGUCUGAUUAGCUAGUUGGUGGGGUAAAGGCCCACCAAGGCAACGAUCAGUAGCGGGUCUGAGAGGAUGAUCCGCCACACUGGAACUGAGACACGGUCCAGACUCCUACGGGGAGGCAGCAGGUGGGGAAUUUUGGACAAUGGGCGCAAGCCUGAUCCAGCCAUGCCGCGUGAGUGAAGAAGGCCUU
rnacentral:rRNA from 1 species